rnacentral:rRNA from 1 species
CAGCAGCCACGGUAAUACGUAGGGUGCGAGCGUUAAUCGGAAUUACUGGGCGUAAAGCGUGCGCAGGCGGUUCGUUAAGACAGAUGUGAAAUCCCCGGGCUUAACCUGGGAACUACAUUUGUGACUGGCGAGCUAGAGUAUGGCAGAGGGGGGUAGAAUUCCACGUGUAGCAGUGAAAUGCGUAGAGAUGUGGAGGAAUACCGAUGGCGAAGGCAGCCCCCUGGGCCAAUACUGACGCUCAUGCACGAAAGCGUGGGGAGCAAACAGGAUUAGAGACCCCCGUAGUCCCUGUCUCUUAUAA